AAGGACUAUAUCCUCCGGUCACUAUUAUAAGGAAAAAUUAACAUUUUAGAAUCAUUCGUUAAAUGAUGUAUGUAGUCUAUAAUAAAGACCACAUACAUCAUUUAAUGAAUGAAUCUAAAAUAUUAACUUUUGCUUAUAAUAGUGAUCGGAGGGUGUAGUUAGU
rnacentral:pre_miRNA from 1 species